rnacentral:rRNA from 1 species
CGGGAUGAAGAUGCAAGUAUCUUAGCGGCGGACGGGUGAGUAACGCGUGAGAAACCUGCCUUUCACAAGGGGAUAGCCUCGGGAAACUGGGAUUAAUACCCUAUGAUACUUUUAAAUCGCAUGAUUUUUAAGUUAAAGCGUAAAGCGGUGAAAGAUGGUCUCGCGUCCCAUUAGUUAGUUGGUGAGGUAGAGGCUCACCAAGACAGCGAUGGGUAGCCGGCCUGAGAGGGUGAACGGCCACACUGGAACUGAGACACGGUCCAGACUCCUACGGGAGGCAGCAGUGGGGAAUAUUGCACAAUGGAGGAAACUCUGAUGCAGCGACGCCGCGUGAACGACGAAGGCCUUCGGGUCGUAAAGUUCUGUCCUUGGGGACGAUAAUGACGGUACCCAAGGAGGAAGCCCCGGCUAACUACGUGCCAGCAGCCGCGGUAAUACGUAGGGGGCGAGCGUUGUCCGGAAUUAUUGGGCGUAAAGGGUUCGCAGGCGGUUCCUUAAGUCAGAUGUUAAAUGCAUAGGCUCAACCUAUGAGUGCAUUUGAAACUGG